rnacentral:rRNA from 1 species
CCUACGGGGGGCAGCAGUGGGGGAUAUUGCACAAUGGGGGGAACCCUGAUGCAGCGACGCCGCGUGGGCGAUGGAGUGCUUCGGCAUGUAAAGCCCUAUCAGCAGGGAAGAAAAUGACGGUACCUGACUAAGAAGCCCCGGCUAAAUACGUGCCAGCAGCCGCGGUAAUACGUAUGGGGCAAGCGUUGUCCGGAUUUACUGGGUGUAAAGGGCGUGCAGCCGGGAAGACAAGUCAGAUGUGAAAUCCCGCGGCUCAACCGCGGAACUGCAUUUGAAACUGUUUUUCUUGAGUACCGGAGAGGUCAUCGGAAUUCGUUGUGUAGCGGUGAAAUGCGUAGAUAUAAGGAAGAACACCAGUGGCGAAGGCGGAUGACUGGACGGCAACUGACGGUGAGGCGCGAAAGCGUGGGGAGCAAACAGGAUUAGAUACCCGGGUAGUC